rnacentral:rRNA from 1 species
UACGUAGGCAGCAAGCGUUGUUCGGAGUUACUGGGCGUAAAGGGUGCGUGGGCGGCUUCUUAAGUCUGGUGUGAAAUCUCCCGGCUCAACUGGGAGGGUGCGCCGGAUACUGAGGGGCUAGAGUGUGGGAGAGGAAAGUGGAAUUCCUGGUGUAGCGGUGAAAUGCGUAGAUAUCAGGAGGAACACCGGUGGUGUAAACGGCUUUCUGGACCAUAACUGACGCUGAGGCACGAAAGCGUGGGUAGCAAACAGG